rnacentral:rRNA from 1 species
GAAUCAACUCUGGCGGCGUGCCUCAGACAUGCAAGUCGAACGCGAAAGUCCCCUUCGGGGGACAAGUAGAGUGGCGCACGGGUGAGUAACACGUAGGUAAUCUACCUUUGGAUUGGGAAUAACAACCGGAAACGGUUGCUAAUACCGAAUAAUGCAGCGGCACCUAAUGGUGACAGUUGUUAAAGCGGGGGAUCGCAAGACCUCGCGUCUGAAGAGGAGCCUGCGGCAGAUUAGCUAGUUGGUAAGGUAACGGCUUACCAAGGCGAUGAUCUGUAGCCGGCCUGAGAGGGCGGUCGGCCACACUGACACUGACAUACGGGUCAGACUCCUACGGGAGGCAGCAGUCGGGAAUUUUGGGCAAUGGGCGCAAGCCUGACCCAGCAACGCCGCGUGAAGGAUGAAAUCCCUCGGGAUGUAAACUUCGCAAGAACGGGAAGAAUAAACCGGUGUUAACAUCACCGGCGAUGACGGUACUGUUUGUAAGCUCCGGCUAACUCCGUGCCAGCAGCCGCGGUAAUGCGGGGGGAGCAAGCGUUGUUCGGAUUUACUGGGCGUAAAGGGCGCGUAGGCGGCCUCUGCAAGUCGACUGUGAAAUCUCCGGGCUUAACCCGGAAAGGUCAGCCGAUACUGCAGGGCUAGAGUGCAGAAGGGGCAACUGGAAUUCUCGGUGUAGCGGUGAAAUGCGUAGAUAUCGAGAGGAACACCUGCGGCGAAGGCGGGUUGCUGGGCUGACACUGACGCUGAAGUGCGAAAGCUAGGGGAGCGAACGGGAUUAGAUACCCCGGUAGUCCUAGCCUUAAACGAUGAAUGCUUGGUGUCUGGGGUUUUAUAGUCCCCGGGUGCCGUCGCUAACGCUUUAAGCAUUCCGCCUGGGGAGUACGGUCGCAAGACUGAAACUCAAAGGAAUUGACGGGGACCCGCACAAGCGGUGGAGCAUGUGGUUUAAUUCGACGCAACGCGAAGAACCUUACCUGGGCUAGAAUGCCUCUGACAGCCGUAGAGAUACGGUUUCCUUGGUAAAACUUGGCAGAGUGCAAGGUGCUGCAUGGCUGUCGUCAGCUCGUGUCGUGAGAUGUUGGGUUAAGUCCCGCAACGAGCGCAACCCUUAUCAAUAGUUGCCAGCGGUUUGGCCGGGCACUCUAUUGAGACUGCCGUUGACAAAACGGAGGAAGGUGGGGAUGACGUCAAGUCCUCAUGGCACUUUAUGUCCAGGGCUACACACGUGCUACAAUGGCAAGUACAAAGCGCUGCAAACACUGCAAAGGGGAGCAAAUCGCAA